AUUGAACGCUAGCGGGAUGCUUUACACAUGCAAGUCGAACGAGUGGCGGACGGGUGAGUAAUAUAUCGGAACGGGCCCAGUAGCGGGGGAUAACUACUCGAAAGAGUGGCUAAUACCGACUACUAAUGGAGCGGCCGAUCUCGGAUUAGCUAGUUGGUGGGGUAAAGGCUAACCAAGGCAACGAGCCUGAGCGGGGUUGAGAGGCCGACCAGCCACACUGGGACUGAGACACGGCCCCGACUCCUACGUGAGGCAGCAGUGGGGAAUUUUGGACAAUGGGGGAAACCCUGAUCCAGCCAUCCCGCGUGUAUGAGAAGGCCUUCGGGUUGUAAAGUACUUUUGGCAGUGAAGCGGUAUCUGCAGAAUAAGCACCGGCUAACUACGUGCCAGCAGCCGCGGUAAUAC
rnacentral:rRNA from 1 species